UGUAGGGAGUGGAGAGAGGGGGAGGACAUGCAGUAAAUAGUCGAGGCUGGAAUCGAACCUGCGACCUAUGCGCAGAGGGCUAUAGCCUCUGGAUAUGGGGCACGCGCUUAGAACGGUAGGCCAACGGUGCCCCCACUAGGAACCUCUUUGUUGGCAUGCUUUCACCUCCCUCCCUGCAGGUUCUUCUACAUACAGUGACAAACAGCCUGUAAGCUGUAUGUGAAAAGCCCUGCAGAGUGCAUGUAAUUAACCCCCCUGGAGCAAAACACAGCUCCAGGUUGUCAGAGUCAUCAGAGAUGCCUGAUGGGCCGGUGCAAAGAGGAGGAGGCGGAGGCUGACUCAGCAGCAGUGUCUUGGCUGUGAUUCGCCUGGUGGGCUGGACUGGAGGCUGGGAGAGGAAAGCUAUUCCAUGGCAGACUGUCUUUGACUGAUGGACCCAUUCUGCUGACUUUCCAAAGGGAAGGAGAUCACAGGCAACCACAUACUGUCUGUAAU